rnacentral:lncRNA from 1 species
UCCCCGACUUCUCUCUCGCCUUCCAUGGGAGCCACCCUAUGUCGCCUCCGUGCCCCCCUCCUGCACCUCUUCUCUCCACGCCUCUCCCCCACCUACGGCCAGCACGUGGCUCUCAUACACAAACCCUAGGCCUCUCCCAAAGCCGGCCAUGGGAGCAGGCGCGCCACGGUAGCCGGAGCACGUGCUGCUCUGGGUACCGGUAUGUGGCGCCGCCGCG